ACUGCUCCUUCUUGUACAAGAAUAUUAAAUUCAACUUAAUUCAACUUUGAUACUCUGAAUCCAGUCCUCCUUAUUCAAAGGUUCUUCUUAAAAAAAAUUCUCGUAAAAUUUUGGUGCGCAACGUGGGGCCCCAAUAUUUGUUCUCCUCUGAAAGCAACGGCACUGGAAAAAACCUGCAGGUGUAUUGACUGAAAACCGCCACGAGGUUCCUAAAACCCCGUUUUGGCAUGGGCCAGGACCAGCUGAGAGAGGGGGCAGUGACGGGGCCAACCACACAAAAAAAAGAAAGGAGACGGACUCACAAGCCUGAGAAAACAAAAGGGUGAUGACGAGUACGUGCCAUAUGGGCUCCGUCUGGAUCCUCCGCCUUAUCCCGUGCCUCGACCUCCUCCUCCUGCACCACCAACUGCUCCGCCACCAAAAAUGCACUCAUGAUUGGAUUCAGACCAGAAAUCAGUCAGUUCAUAAGGAAACAUCUGAUUGCUUGGAAAAAUGAAGGAUUGCAGAGAACCAUUGAUUAUGCAAUUCAUGCAGAAGAAACAAUUGAAGCAAAAAAA